AAACACUGUGUUUCGGAUAUUGGGCGUAGAGCUCGUAGGCGGUUUGUCGCGUCUGCUGUGAAAGACCGGGGCUCAACUCCGGUUCUGCAGUGGGUACGGGCAGACUAGAGUGCAGUAGGGGAGACUGGAAUUCCUGGUGUAGCGGUGAAAUGCGCAGAUAUCAGGAGGAACACCGAUGGCGAAGGCAGGUCUCUGGGCUGUAACUGACGCUGAGGAGCGAAAGCAUGGGGAGCGAACAGGAUUAGAUACCCUGGUAGUCCAUGCCGUAAACGUUGGGCACUAGGUGUGGGGGACAUUCCACGUUUUCCGCGCCGUAGCUAACGCAUUAAGUGCCCCGCCUGGGGAGUACGGCCGCAAGGCUAAAACUCAAAGGAAUUGACGGGGGCCCGCACAAGCGGCGGAGCAUGCGGAUUAAUUCGAUGCAACGCGAAGAACCUUACCAAGGCUUGACAUGAACCGGUAAUACCUGGAAACAGGUGCCCCGCUUGCGGUCGGUUUACAGGUGGUGCAUGGUUGUCGUCAGCUCGUGUCGUGAGAUGUUGGGUUAAGUCCCGCAACGAGCGCAACCCUCGUUCUAUGUUGCCAGCGCGUUAUGGCGGGGACUCAUAGGAGACUGCCGGGGUCAACUCGGAGGAAGGUGGGGACGACGUCAAAUCAUCAUGCCCCUUAUGUCUUGGGCUUCACGCAUGCUACAAUGGCCGGUACAAAGGGUUGCGAUACUGUGAGGUGGAGCUAAUCCCAAAAAGCCGGUCUCAGUUCGGAUUGGGGUCUGCAACUCGACCCCAUGAAGUCGGAGUCGCUAGUAAUCGCAGAUCAGCAACGCUGCGGUGAAUACGUUCCCGGGCCUUGUACACACCGCCCGUCAAGUCACGAAAGUUGGUAACACCCGAAGCCGGUGGCCUAACCCUUGUGGGGGGAGCCGUCGAAGGUGGGACCGGCGAUUGGGACUAAGUCGUACACAAGGUAGCA
rnacentral:rRNA from 1 species